rnacentral:rRNA from 1 species
AACAUACAACACCGGGUAUUCGCUGGUCGUCACCGAUCCAGCUACUAAUCCGGCACUCGCUAGGUUAUCCAACGGAGUUCGGGACGGGAUCCAGAUCUAUCUAGCGGCUGUGGUCGU